rnacentral:rRNA from 1 species
CGAUAGCGAACAAGUACAGUGAUGGAAAGAUGAAAAGAACUUUGAAAAGAGAGUGAAAAAGUACGUGAAAUUGUUGAAAGGGAAGGGCAUUUGAUCAGACAUGGUGUUUUGUGCCCUCUGCUCCUUGUGGGUAGGGGAAUCUCGCAUUUCACUGGGCCAUCUUCGUAGUUGAUCCCGCGGGAGAAGGGCUCCGGAAAGCGGCUCUUUUCCGUAGGUGAACCUGCGGGAAUACUGCCAGCUGGGACUGAGGACUGCGACGUA